CUGAGUGGAAGCAGGGGGGCCCCAGUAGACGCUAAGGUCAUUUAGAAACUGCGGCAACCGCCCCCCAGUUGGUAAGCAACAAACCCGAAGCACCGUAAGGCUCCGUGUUCCUGUCUUCUGCGAGAGGAACGAGGGACACGGUGGGAGACGCCCCACUGCCCUUUCAGGAAACGGCGAGGACUGUCCUGUGAAAAGGGGACGAGCCCGGGCCCGGGGACGAGCCACGUGGCUUCGUCUAACUGCUGUAACCGUCCUGAGCCGUCGCGAGGAGCCGCGCAGACCUGCUCCUUCGCGGGCGAGAAAGUGAGGGGACUCGGUCGCCCACACCUCGUGCUGCACCUAGAGGCGCCCACAGUUGGGAGCUGUUAUGCAUGAGUACUGAGGAGCCACUCAGAGCGAGGGGGUCGCGCGGGGGGCAGCGCGCGGGCCGGGAGUCGGCGGCGGGGGAGGAGCGCGGGGUGCGGGGAGCCGAGCCCCCCGGCCCCCGCACGCCCGGCUGUCUGCUCCCUGCCUACGUGGGCCCUGGCCUUCUUUGUGUUGUGGAGCCUCGCGAAUAGACACGCACACACCCUCCCCUCCCCCCCACCCCCGGCCCUCUAACGCGGGGUGGGCCUCCCUCACAGACGGAGGGCUCUCCCAAAAGUGAGUGGACUCGAAGAGCCUGAAGCUGGUGCAGCCCUUUCUUUCGUUCUUCUGAUUGGAAAGAGUCCCAGAGGCGACGGGAUUUGCCCGAAGUCGGCAACUUCCUGGAACUGGAAGCCAAUCGGAAGACUUCCGCGCCGCUGCUCUUUCCGCUGUGCUCAGGUUACUUAGCGCCUCGGGACCCGCUUUUGAAAAGGGAGGGAGAGAGGUCGGCCCGGGAGCGCCCCUGAGGGAAAUGUUCUUCGGACUCGGUAACUGCUCGUGGCCGGCGGUGAGAGAGUGGGGGUGAUACAGUGUGGAACCUGCUUCCCCCCAAAACAUAACGUGCACAGUUUCCAGUUGUUUUCCGAGAUCCUGAAUUUUCGUGGGUGCAUCUUCCGGGGAGGGGGGCAGGCGGGCUGCGAGCACACCUGUUUUGUUUACCUAAUGCAGAGCAGGUACCUAAUAAAUAUUUGCGGAGCGGAGGGCUGCUCAGCUGCAUGAGCCCCGUUUCCUCGUAGGGACGUAGGAGGGUUUGCGGAGCGCAGCCCCACCUGGGAGGCGCGUAAGCCCUUGCCAGCGUUUCUCAAUUACGGCUCUGCCGCGAGUAUCCUCUGUGCGUAAAUCCUUGACUGCAUCUCAUGAUUAUUUCCAUAGGCUAUUUUCCUCGAAGUGGGAUUACUGGGUUGAAGAGUAAGCGCGUAGUUAAGUCUCUUGAUUGAGAGUGCCUCCAGCAGGGCCAGAGUGAGUCAGCUUACCAGCCACCGGGCCAAAACUCGGUGGAGAUUGGGCUGAUUUUUCAAAGACAUACUCUAAGGAGCCCAGAAAAAUCCAGUGUGGGCAAGGAGACCACUGACACCAGGCACACUCUGCCCAGCAAGGUGAAACCAAAGGGCGCCAAAUGUCUGCCUCCAGCUUGAAGCUUUCCAUCCCUCCAGGACAGAGUCUACCUUCACAGACCUGGGUUAAAGGGUUUUACAGCUUCUGAGUCCUGCUGGCCUCUCCAUCACACAUCUCCACCCACAUGAGCCCCUCUGCUCGGCGGGCCGCACUGAAUUUCAGCUGCCAGCCACCACACCUGCCGUUCCAACUCUCUCCCUCCCCUCCUGCCUAGAACAGCAGUCGGCUGUUUGCUUUGCAGGUCUCAGCUCGGACUGUAUGACAGGCAGCCUCUAAGCUGGCCCCCACUGAUCCCUGCCUCCUCCUGUUCGUGCCCUUGGGAUCCUGAAGAACAGAAUGUGGCAGAAGCUGCUGUGUUGCACACUGCCCUGUGAUGAGGGCCACGUGACAAGGAACAGAGGGAGGCCUCCAGCCAAGAGCCUGUGGGGGAACCGAAUCCCCUCGGCAACCACGAGUGUGCUUGGCAUCGGGUCCUCCCCCAGCUGAGUCCUCAGAUGAGCUGGCAGCCCCAGCGGUCAGUGUUAACCUGCGACCUCCUCCUCUAAGACCUUCAGCCCUGAGGCAGCCAGUUAAGGCAGCCUGGAUUCCUGACCCAAAGAAACUGUGAGAUAAUAAAUGUUUGUUGUUUUAAGCAGCUACGUUUUUGUUAAUUUGUUACUCAGAAAUAGAUAACAAAUACCCCCUCUGGACCCCUGUCCCUCCUCCACAC